CUGCAGGGGACAAGGGAGAUAUUUCCUGGUGUUACAAGGCGGGUAUUUCACUUGCUUUUACCUUUUAAAAUGAAUUGGCUUAGCCCCGGAGGAAAUGGCUGCCUAGGGACGUGUUGGAGGCCAUCGCUGGCAUGGUGGUGGCCAGUCUUAAUUCUGGCUUAAUUCUGUGCGUAAGGAGGGGCAGUUGCAGUUAAGCUGCUGAGCAGCAAAUCUCUGCAAGGCACGGUUGGAGCUGUUGUCCGGACCCCAACUGCUUUAGACCCUGAUCUGGAUGCUGCAAGGACGUAAGCUGGAGGAUUUAAAUUCCCAGGAUCAAGCCUGGAAUCAUGGUUAGGUGUCUUUGGUCCAUCUCUUCCAAUUUCUGAUGCAAAGCAGGACAAAGGACACCAAUGUGACAUGUGGAUAAAAGAUGUUUAAAGACAUCCUCAGUGUCUGGCUGAGAACUUGCACAUGACUGCACGUAAGCCCAGCUCCCUAGGUCUUCCCAACCCUUCUGUUCUCCCAGGCAAGAUGCAGUCUGCUCUCGAAGCUGGAAAUGCUGCCUCUUCCCAUCUGUUGUGACAUUUGUCCAGCUUGACCCUGAUGGCUUUACCAUCACUCCUAGCGUUAAUCAUCACGUGCAGCAGCUUGCCAGAUGUUUUCAGGAGCAUGUCCCUGCAUCAUCCAGGUGUAUUCCCAAGGAGACAGUACCUCCACCGUGUUCUGCAUUAAUUCUGACCUCUCCUCUUGAAAGGAAGUUUCUUCCCUGUAGCCAGAGUACUUGACCUACUUGGUCAUCACCGGUGAGUUCUGGGGCACCCUGUGUCACAGGUACCUGAGACACAGCAACCAUAAAUGUACAAAGAGUAUGGCAAAAGGCUUAGGAAAGUCAAGCUUACGGAUCAAACCGAGAAACAAGAACACCUUUCUAUGCAGCUUUGUCCUCUCCUAACUCUUGACUAAGAAACAUGGUAAAUAAAAUAAUAAAACAGGUUAGCUGGAACCCAAAGGUGUUCUGGUGAAGGCUGUCAGCAUCCCAUCUGGGUCCAUCCAAGGAAUCCUGAUAUGGGGAAGGGUAACUCACACCACCGCGAGUCAUGCGGGAUGAGUGACAAAGUGCCUCCAGCAGGAGGGUGCUGGGUGGAAAACACAGGACCUUGACUGACUCGACAGACAAGUCAGACUCUUUCAGUGAUAGGAUCUAAAAGAGAUGGGAUCCAGGAAUCAGUGAAGGGAGGGUAACGCAAGGAAGAAGAUGUAGGCUACUUAGUGGUUAGGUUUCCUGAACCCACUGAAGCAAGUAAAGCACCAUCCCACACUCGUGUGGUCAGGUGCAAGGAAAGUGAUGUUCCCCACCCUCUCUGUGGAAACAUCUGCUAGGAUUCAUCAAGAAAUUUAGUGGGCCUGGUCAGAAUCCCAGAAUGGGUAAGGAUGGAAGAAACUACCACUGGAGUAAUCUGGUCUCAACCCCUCUCCUCAAGCAGAGUUAUCCCAAAGAUAUGGCACAGGAUUGCCUCCAGAUGGUUCUGGAAUAUCUGCAGUGAGGGAGACGCCACAACCUCUCUGGGGAAUCUGCUCCAGUGCUCAGACACCUGCACAGUAAAGAAGUCCUUCCUUUGUUCAGGUGCAACUUCCUCUGUUCCAGUUUUUGCCCAUUGUCUCAUGUCUUCUUGGCACCACCAAGAACAGGAGCCUGGCUCCUUCCUCUGACACCCAGCCUGCAGAUACUCAUAGACAUUGAUGAGGUCCCCUCUCAGACAUCUCUUAUCAAGCCUGAACAGGCCCAGCUCCCUCACCUUUCCUCAUGAGGCACUUCCUCACCUAAUAAUCUUCAUUCCCCUUUGCUAGACCUGCUCCAUGUCUCUCUUGCACUGCAGAUUCCCCUCACCAGGGCUGAGUGGAGCCUCACCUCCCUUGCUUUGCUGGCAAUGUGCUCCUCCUAAUGCAUCCCAGGACAACACUGGCUUCUUGGACACCAGGACGACCUGCUGGCUCAUGGGGAGCUUCUUGUCCACAUCCCCAGGUCUUUCUCUGAAGAGCUGCUCACCAGCAGGUCAGCCCCCAGCCUUUGCUGGUACACGGGGUUAUUUUUCCACACAUGUAGGGCCCUGCAUUUGCCUUUGCUGAAUUUCAGAAGGUUCCUCUCUGCCCAUCUCUCCAACCUGUCCCUCUGCAGGACACUGGAGUACUGGCCACUUUUCCCAGCUUGGUGCCAUCAAUAAACAUGAUGAGGAAGCAUCUACCCUUCAUCCAAGUCAUUGAUGAGUAAAAUAAGGAUGGGCCUGGUACUGAACCUUGUGGGACACCACUAGUGACAGGCCUUCAGCUAGACUCUGUGCCACUGACUGUGACCCUCUGGGAUCCGCUGUUCAGCCAGUUCCCAACCCACCUCACUGCCCACUCAUUCACUCCACACUUCCUAAGUUUGUCUAUGAGGAUCUUGUGAGAGAGAGUAUUGAAAGCCUUGCUGCAGUCGAGGUAGACAAUAUCCCCUGCUCUGCCCUCAACCCUCCAGGCGGUUGUCUCACGGUAGAAGGCAAUCAUGUUGGUCAGCCAUAAUUUGCAUUUAGUGAAGUCAAGCCCACUCUCCUGAUCACCUUCCUGCAUUCCACAUGCUUAGAGAUAACCUCCAGAAUGAAGAAUGAGGGGCUCCAUCAGUCUGGAUUGAGGUGAGGCUGACUGGUUUCCUGGGUCCUCCUUCUUGGCCUCUUUGAAGAGUGGGGAGACAUUUGCUUUCUUCCAGGCCUCAGGCCCCUCUCCUGAUGUCAGACCCUUCACAGAUGACUGCUAUGGUGUUCACCAGCUCCUCAGCACUGUGGAUGCAUCCCUACAAGGGCCAUGGAUUUGUGGAUAUCCCAUUUCCCUAGGUGAUCUCUAACCCAAUUCUCCCUGUCCAAGGGAGAAUCUUCCUUCCAGCAUUCCUGAGGGGUAAGAAGCUGAUGAACCAGUCUGCCUAAAUAUUCAGGGGGAAGACCUUAUUGCCAGCCCAGAGAUACAAUCCUAAAAGUUCUUAAAUGUUCAAGAGGUCAGCACUCAGCAGCCACAGUCCUGAGCUGAAUGCUGGCAGAGGGACUGCCCAGAUGCACCCUGCCAUGGAACCCCACUCAGUCUGUGCUCAGACUGCUCUUGGGUAUAAAACACUCACAUUAAUGCACCGACACUGAGCUAGACAGGACUCGAGAGUGCUUCCUGAGCUGGCACUGCCGAGAGGCGUCCUGGAACAGAGGUGACUCUAGGGACUCAAGAAGCAACGCCGCACUGCGCAGUUCCUGGACAUCGCAGUUCCCAGCAGGGUGUGUGGUGCAGAAGAGCAGGCUCGAUACUCCCCAAAGAAGGAAAAGGAGCCCACAGAGAAGAACUCAGUAGAUGGAGGGACCACAUCUCAUUUCAGCAUCAAAGAUGUGGGGUCACCACAGUUAGACAGGUAGGUGGCCCAGCUAACACCAGGGGCCUUGGGCGGUGCUUCCCAUACCGAGGAAUUGCUGAGGCAGAGGAUCCAUGCCGCAUAUCCUGCCAGGGAGAUCUUGGAGGCUGUCAGACUGGUGGGGGAACAGAGCCCCUUGCUGGUGAUACAAUGCACCAGGGAACAGCAUCUUGCACAUGUGGGUGGCAGAGAUUUUGGUUUCACUGCAAACAGAGUCCUGGCAGGCAGUGUGGGAGCAGGGUCGCCGCGUGUCCUGGGACAUGGGUGUCUGUCACCUGCUGCUCCCCUGGGCAAUGACUGCUCGAGGCAGAGAUGUCAGUCCUCCCGUGCUUCAUGCCUGAAAUCUCUCAGGGUGUGUACUCUGCAGUCUUGUGGGUUCCUUAAGCAGGACCAAGGCAAAGGUAUGCGUGUCCUGGAUUAUGCACGGGGGAAGCCAGAAGUCGUCAGCCACUCACAGAACUCUCCUCAGGAGAGAAAGAGAAGAAAACACUGCAAAGAUGCCUACAGGAAAGGGGAAUUGCAUGAAACUGAAGAUCCUCCAGACAGGAUAGGAAGUGAACCCUCAUCUACUGUGUGUGUGAGGCAUCAUCACUUGAAAGCAGAAAACUGAAAUAGUAAAAUAUUUCCUCUGGCUUCAGCUCUUUUAGGUAGAAAAAUAAAGAGGGAAGACAGGAAGAAAUGGAAACAGCUGAGCAAGGUGGCAUAGAGGUGAGGGCCAUGGCAGGCACUGAGGCACGCAGCUCCCAUCUACCCACAGACCCACAGGCAGCCAGGGCUUCUGCUGCUUCCCAGCACCCUGCUGCUCCCGUGAAACACUUUCCCAACUUCCUGCAAGAAGUGAAGACAGCAGUCAGGAGCUGCAGCAGACCACAGCCUGAGGAACUGCCAUUCCCCAGCACCAACAGCGCUCCACCUGCUCCCUUAUUUCCUGUUUCCUGCUCAAUUCUUCUGCCAUUUGCAGGGACUCGCCUCCCUGCCUGCUCCAACCAGCUCAGCCCCUGCUGAAAUGCCAACACACGCCUUAACAAUGGGGCAGGCACGGGCAGAGCACCUCACCCUGCCCGAACAUGGACACUGCUGUAGUGCAUGGAUGCCACAGCGCUCCCAGCUCAAGCACCCAGCAGCAUCAGCCAGCCAGGCCACAGCUACAGAGAGAAUCUUGCAUCCCUCAGCCCCCAUUUUAUCUUCCAUACCUAAUCUUAGUGAUGAUCCAAAAACUCUACUGCCAGGUACUUCCUCUUCCCUUCAGUACCUUUAGUGGGAAGCAUUUUUUCUCCAGAGCUUCACCUGCCUUGGCUGUGCAGGCUGUAUCCACUUCUCAGUGCCCACACUGCCUCUCUGGAUCACACUGCCUCUCUGGAGGCUGCUCGCUCCCUCCUGACACCCUGCAGGCCCCAGCCUCCAUCACCAUCACCAGAGGAGCAGG